rnacentral:tRNA from 1 species
CGGGGCGUAGCGAAGCCCGGUAUCGCGCCACGUUCGGGACGUGGAGAUCGGAGGUUCAAAUCCUCUCGCCCCGA